AUUGAACGCUGGCGGAAUGCUUUACACAUGCAAGUCGAACGGUAGAGGGGGCAACCCCUCGAGAGUGGCGAACGGGUGAGUAAUAUAUCGGAACGUGCCCAGUCGUGGGGGAUAACGUAGCGAAAGUUACGCUAAUACCGCAUACGAUCUAUGGAUGAAAGCGGGGGAUCGCAAGACCUCGCGCGAUUGGAGCGGACGAUAUUAGAUUAGGUAGUUGGUGGGGUAAAGGCCCACCAAGCCAACGAUCUGUAGCUGGUCUGAGAGGACGACCAGCCACACUGGAACUGAGACACGGGCCAGACUCCUACGGGAGGCAGCAGUGGGGAAUUUUGGACAAUGGGCGAAAGCCUGAUCCAGCCAUUCCGCGUGCAGGAUGAAGGCCCUCGGGUUGUAAACUGCUUUUGUACAGAACGAAAAGGUUUCUACUAAUACUAGGAGCUCAUGACGGUACUGUAAGAAUAAGCACCGGCUAACUACGUGCCAGCCGCCGCGGUAA
rnacentral:rRNA from 1 species